rnacentral:lncRNA from 1 species
GUCCGAAACGAAGGAUCCGACCCGCGUCCAGCCGCACCUGAAGAAGUGUUUCGAGGGCAUUGCGUCGCUUAACUUUACCGAAGCGCUCGACAUUACGAUGAUGCGCUCGAGCGAGGGCGAAGAGGUGGACCUGGUGGAGGAGGUGUCCACCAGCAAGGCGAAGGGCCAGGUGGAGAAGUGGCUGCUCG